ACCAGACUCCUACGGGAGGCAGCAGUGGGGGAUAUUGCACAAUGGGGGGAACCCUGAUGCAGCGACGCCGCGUGGGUGAAGGAGUGCUUCGGCAUGUAAAGCCCUAUCGGCAGGGAAGAAGCAAGACGGUACCUGACUAAGAAGCCCCGGCUAACUACGUGCCAGCAGCCGCGGUAAUACGUAGGGGGCAAGCGUUAUCCGGAUUUACUGGGUGUAAAGGGAGCGUAGACGGUAUGGCAAGUCUGAAGUGAAAGCCCAGGGCUUAACCCUGGGACUGCUUUGGAAACUGUUAGACUAGAGUGCUGGAGAGGUAAGUGGAAUUCCUAGUGUAGCGGUGAAAUGCGUAGAUAUUAGGAGGAACACCAGUGGCGAAGGCGGCUUACUGGACAGUAACUGACGUUGAGGCUCGAAAGCGUGGGGAGCAAACAGGAUUAGAUACCCGCGUAC
rnacentral:rRNA from 1 species